CUUACUGAUAGGGCUGCUUAGCAGGUUGCUUUGAUAUAGCAAAUCGUAAAAUAUAUUUUCGUCAGUAUCA
rnacentral:tRNA from 1 species